GAUGAACGCUGGCGGCGUGCCUAACACAUGCAAGUCGAGCGAUUUACUUCGGUAAAGAACGGCGGACGGGUGAGUAACGCGUGGGUAACCUGCCCUGUACACACGGAUAACAUACCGAAAGGUAUGCUAAUACGAGAUAAUAUGCUUUUAUCGCAUGGUAGAAGUAUCAAAGCUUUUGCGGUACAGGAUGGACCCGCGUCUGAUUAGCUAGUUGGUGAGGUAACGGCUCACCAAGGCGACGAUCAGUAGCCGACCUGAGAGGGUGAUCGGCCACAUUGGAACUGAGACACGGUCCAAACUCCUACGGGAGGCAGCAGUGGGGAAUAUUGCACAAUGGGCGAAAGCCUGAUGCAGCAACGCCGCGUGAGCGAUGAAGGCCUUCGGGUCGUAAAGCUCUGUCCUCAAGGAAGAUAAUGACGGUACUUGAGGAGGAAGCCCCGGCUAACUACGUG
rnacentral:rRNA from 1 species